AUGGCCCACUACCGUAACAACUAUAAAAAAUGAUGAGGUGGAGUUUGUCCGAACUGGCUAUGGGAAGGAUAUGGUAAAAGUUCUCCAUAUUCAGUGAGAUGGAAAAUAUCACAGCAUUAAAGAGGUGGCAACUUCAGUGCAACUUACUCUGAGUUCCAAAAAAGAUUACCUGCAUGGAGAUAAUUCAGACAUCAUCCCUACAGACACCAUCAAGAACACAGUUCAUGUCUUGGCAAAGUUUAAUCAAAAGCAUAGAAGCCUUUGGUGUGAAUAUUUGUGAGCAUUUUCUUUCUUCUUUUAACCAUGUAAUCUGAGCUCAAGUCUACGUGGAAGAAAUUCCUUGGAAGCAUCUUGAAAAAUGGAGUUAAGCAUGUCCAUGCAUUUAUUCACACUCCCACUGGAACACACUUCUGUGAAGUUGAACAGCUGAGAAGUGGGACCCCCAGUCAUUCAUUCUGGAAUCAAAGACCUCAAGGUCUUGAAAACAACAUAGUCUCGAUGUGACGGUUUCAUCAAGGACCAGUUCACUACCCUCCCUGAGGUGAAGGACCGAUGCUUUGCCACCCAAGUGUACUGCAAGUGGCGCUACCACCAGUGCAGGGAUGUGGACUUCGAGGCUACCUGGACACCAUUUGGGACCUUGUCCUGGAGAAAUCUGCUGGGCCCUAUGACAAAGGCGAAUACUUGCCCUCUGUGCAGAAGACCCUCUAUGAUAUCCAGGUGCUCUCCCUGUGCCGAGUUCCAGAUAGAAGAUAUGGAAAUCAGCCUGCCAAACAUUCACUACUUCAACAUAGACAUGUCCAAAAUGGGUCUGAUCAACAAGGAAGAGGUCUUGCUGCCAUUAGACAAUCCAUAUGGAGAAAUUACUGGUACAGUCAAGAGGAAGUUGUCUUCAAG
rnacentral:sRNA from 1 species